AGUAAUAACUAUUUAAAUGUGCAUAGUGCAGAAUAUUGUCCAGUGAUGGCUUAUUUUACAGAAACAGCUAGCAGUGCUACAUUAUGAUGUUGCAUUAAAGCGUUCGACUGCUGUUGGAAUGAAGGAUCUGCGGUAGUGCUCCUUCUUGCACUGAGGAACACUUAAAAU